CCUCUGCCAUUUACGAUUGGGGAACAGCGGAGGGAUCAUUACCGAGUUUACAACUCCCAAACCCAUGUGAACAUACCUAUAUUGCUUCGGCGGGACCGCCCCGGCGCCUUGUGCCCGGAACCAGGCGCCCGCCGGAGACCACAAACUCUUGUAUUUAUACGAAUUAUCUGAGGAUUUAUACAAAUGAAUCAAAACUUUCAACAACGGAUCUCUUGGUUCUGGCAUCGAUGAAGAACGCAGCGAAAUGCGAUAAGUAAUGUGAAUUGCAGAAUUCAGUGAAUCAUCGAAUCUUUGAACGCACAUUGCGCCUGCCAGUAUUCUGGCAGGCAUGCCUGUCCGAGCGUCAUUUCAACCCUCAAGCCCCCGGGCUUGGUGUUGGGGAACGGCCACCGCCGCAACUCGCGGCAGGCCGCCCCCGAAAUACAGUGGCGGUCACGCUGCGGCAUCUCCUGCGUAGUAACACACCUCGCAUCAGAUACGCUACGAGACCACGCCGUAAAACAACCCACUUCUGAAAUGUUGACCUCGGAUCAGGUAGGGAUACCCGCUGAACUUAAGCAUAUCAAUAAGCGGAGGAA
rnacentral:rRNA from 1 species